CUUCAAUGGAGUCCUUCCAGCAAAACUAUCAUGGUGGGGGAGUGGUGGUUGUCAUCGAAUUACAGAGGCAGUGGGAGGUGGCAGGUGGUCUAAUAUCUCUUUGUGAUAACUCUGCACGUCAACGAUCAGGCUGAUCAAGGAAAAGUACCAUUUCCUGCACUGUCAGAAUUCCACAGAUGGCUUUUAGUUUCAGGCGUUAUACACAAGGAUAGAGAAUGAACACACGAAAUGCAUAGAACAUCUAGCAAUUACUUCGGACAAGAUUAAAAAGAAAGAAACACACAGAUGCCUGUCUGGAUGCUUCCGCUGAAAUUAGAAACAACCAAACAAUUUCAUCGGAUACUCCAAACAGUGCAACCAACCAACUAUUCACUGCUUGGAAACUGGGGAAGAAAGUAAAAGGAACUAGCAUUCAUCAUGACUAUGGACUAAAGAAGAAGGCAAUCAGCAAUCUACAGAAUGCUUUUGUGACACAAAAGUGGUACUUGUCAAAAUGCUUACAGAAGCUCAACAAGAAAUUGACAAUUAACUUGGAGAAAGGGGGUGCAAGAGGACCUAAUGGCUUUACAUCUUUCCAAAAAAUGUAGCUCGAAAUAAUGAGGAUUGGAGAAAAGAACCCCCAUGUAGCCAACCCCAACUAGCUUGGGACUAAUGCUUGAUUCAGUUGAGUUGAGCUAUCAAAAAUUAAACCUUAGGAAAAACAGAUUAUACUAUUAUAA